rnacentral:rRNA from 1 species
UACGGGGGGAGCAAGCGUUGUUCGGAUUUACUGGGCGUAAAGGGCGCGUAGGCGGCCAGCACAAGUCAGUUGUGAAAUCUCCGAGCUUAACUCGGAAAGGUCAACUGAUACUGUGCGGCUAGAGUGCAGAAGGGGCAACUGGAAUUCUCGGUGUAGCGGUGGAAUGCGUAGAGAUCCGGAAGAACACCGGUGGCGAAGGCGGCCUGCUGGGCAGUAGCUGACACUGAGGCGCGACAGCGUGGGGAGCAAACAGG